GAUGAACGCUGGCGGCGUGCUUAACACAUGCAAGUCGAACGGAAAGGCCCAAGCUUGCUUGGGUACUCGAGUGGCGAACGGGUGAGUAACACGUGGGUGAUCUGCCCUGCACUUCGGGAUAAGCCUGGGAAACUGGGUCUAAUACCGGAUAGGACGAUGGUUUGGAUGCCAUUGUGGAAAGUUUUUUCGGUGUGGGAUGAGCUCGCGGCCUAUCAGCUUGUUGGUGGGGUCAUGGCCUACCAAGGCGUCGACGGGUAGCCGGCCUGAGAGGGUGUACGGACACAUUGGGACUGAGAUACGGCCCAGACUCCUACGGGAGGCAGCAGUGGGGAAUAUUGCACAAUGGGCGCAAGCCUGAUGCAGCGACGCCGCGUGGGGGAUGACGGCCUUCGGGUUGUAAACUCCUUUCGCUAGGGACGAAGCGUUUUUGUGACGGUACCUGGAGAAGAAGCACCGGCUAACUACGUG
rnacentral:rRNA from 1 species